CCCAUCUUAGGGUAGCACCUGGAGAGUUUCCAGUACUCUACCAGUCUUAGCUAAGGGAGGGAGAGUCAAGUAGAGGCAUACCCAUUCUAUUCCCAGCUUGGGCAGUGGCUAGUGAGUAGAAGGCAGUCUGCUACAAGU